AUUGAACGCUAGCGGGAUGCUUUACACAUGCAAGUCGACCGAGCGGCGGACGGGUGAGUAAUGUAUGGGGACUGCCCGUUAGAGGGGGAUAACUACUGGACACGGUAGCUAAUACCGCAUACUAUCGGAUAACCCAUAUGGGAUUAGCUAGUAGGUGAGGUAAUGGCUCACCUAGGCGACGAUCACUAGCUGGUCUGAGAGGAUGAUCAGCCACAUGUGAACGGAGACAGGCCCCAGACUCCUACGGAGGCAGAAGUGGGGAACAUGGCACAAUGGGCGCAAGCCUGAUGCAGCCAUGCCGCGUGUAUGAAGAAGGCCCUAGGGUUGUAAAGGACUUUCAGUCGGGAGGCGGUACCGACAGAAGUAGCACCGGCUAACUCCGUGCCAGCAGCCGCGGUAAUAC
rnacentral:rRNA from 1 species